GGCCGUGGCUCAGUGGUAGAGCGCUUGCUUAGCACGUGCAAGGCCCUGGGUUUAAUCCUCAGCACCA
rnacentral:tRNA from 1 species